UAGCGGUGAAAUGCGCAGAUAUCAGGAGGAACACCGAUGGCGAAGGCAGGUCUCUGGGCCAUAACUGACACUGAGAAGCGAAAGCAUGGGGAGCGAACAGGAUUAGAUAGCCUGGUAGUCCAUGCCGUAAACGUUGGGCGCUAGGUGUGGGGCUCAUUCCACGAGUUCCGUGCCGCAGCUAACGCAUUAAGCGCCCCGCCUGGGGAGUACGGCCGCAAGGCUAAAACUCAAAGGAAUUGACGGGGGCCCGCACAAGCGGCGGAGCAUGCGGAUUAAUUCGAUGCAACGCGAAGAACCUUACCAAGGCUUGACAUACACCGGAAACAUUCAGAGAUGGGUGCCCCGCAAGGUCGGUGUACAGGUGGUGCAUGGUUGUCGUCAGCUCGUGUCGUGAGAUGUUGGGUUAAGUCCCGCAACGAGCGCAACCCUCGUUCUAUGUUGCCAGCGCGUUAUGGCGGGGACUCAUAGGAGACUGCCGGGGUCAACUCGGAGGAAGGUGGGGAUGACGUCAAAUCAUCAUGCCCCUUAUGUCUUGGGCUUCACGCAUGCUACAAUGGCCGGUACAAAGGGCUGCGAUACCGCGAGGUGGAGCGAAUCCCAAAAAACCGGUCUCAGUUCGGAUUGGGGUCUGCAACUCGACCCCAUGAAGUCGGAGUCGCUAGUAAUCGCAGAUCAGGAAAUCUGCAGUGAAUACGUUCCCGGGCCUUGUACACACCGCCCGACUUGACGCGAAAGUCGGUAACACCCGAAGCCGGUGGCCUAACCCUUGUGGGGGAGCCG
rnacentral:rRNA from 1 species